GGCGUCCGAGUUGUAAUUUGCAGAGGGCGCUUUGGCAUUGGCAGCGGUCCAAGUUCCUUGGAACAGGACGUCACAGAGGGUGAGAAUCCCGUACGUGGUCGCUAGCCUUUACCGUGUAAAGCCCCUUCGACGAGUCGAGUUGUUUGGGAAUGCAGCUCUAAAUGGGAGGUAAAUUUCUUCUAAAGCUAAAUACUGGCCAGAGACCGAUAGCGCACAAGUAGAGUGAUCGAAAGAUGAAAAGCACUUUGGAAAGAGAGUUAAAAAGCACGUGAAAUUGUUGAAAGGGAAGCGCUUGCAGCCAGACUUGCCUGUAGUUGCUCAUCCGGGUUUUUACCCGGUGCACUCUUCUACGGGCAGGCCAGCAUCAGUUUGGGCGGUUGGAUAAAGGUCUCUGUCAUGUACCUCCUCUCGGGGAGAUCUUAUAGGGGAGACGACAUGCAACCAGCCUGGACUGAGGUCCGCGCAUCUGCUAGGAUGCUGGCGUAAUGGCUGUAAGCGGCCCGUCUUGAAACACGGACCAAGGAGUCUAACAUCUAUGCGAGUGUUUGGGUGUCAAGCCCGAACGCGUAAUGAAAGUGAACGGAGGUGGGAACCUUUCGGGGUGCACCAUCGACCGAUCCUGAUGUCUUCGGAUGGAUUUGAGUAAGAGCAUAGCUGUUGGGACCCGAAAGAUGGUGAACUAUGCUUGAAUAGGGUGAAGCCAGAGGAAACUCUGGUGGAGGCUCGCAGCGGUUCUGACG
rnacentral:rRNA from 2 species